ACGAGCACGCGCGUGUGGCAUAUCAAUAAGCGGAGGAAAAGAAACUAACUAGGAUUCCCUCAGUAACGGCGAGUGAAGCGGGAAGAGCUCAAAUUUGAAAUCUUCAAGGUUUUACCUUGACGAAUUGUAGUUUAAAGAAGUGUUUUCUGUUGGUGUUUUGGUAAAAGUUCUUUGGAAUAGGACAUCAUAGAGGGUGAGAAUCCCGUAUUUGGUCAUUCUUUCUAGCUUUGUGAUACACUUUCAACGAGUCGGAUUGUUUGGGAAUGCAGUCCAAAAUGGGUGGUAAAUUUCAUCUAAAGCUAAAUAUUGGCGAGAGACCGAUAGCGAACAAGUACCGUGAGGGAAAGAUGAAAAGAACUUUGAAAGGAGAGUUAAACAGUACGUGAAAUUGUCAAAAGGGAAGCGUUUGACACCAGUGUUGUUUUUCCGAAAAUCAAUUACGAAUGGCUUGAUUUUGUGUUGUAUCGACCUUAUCAGCUUUCUGCACUCUUUUUCGCUGUCUUUUUUAAUGCACUUUUCGGUUAACAAGUCAACAUCAAUUUCUUUUGUUGUAAAAGAGGUAUUAGGAAGGUGGCUUUCUUUUCGGAGAAAGUGUUUAUAGCCUUAUACCUCUACAAUCGGAGAGAUUGAGGUCUGCAGCGUAGAUCCUUCGGGGUUAGAUACACUUUGUGCUAAGUUAGUAGCUUUUCAUAGACAACUUGUUGACUAUGUUUAGUCAUUGUAGGCUUACUCGCUUACUGCUAUUUUACCUACGCUUAGGAUGUUGAGUAGCGACAUACGCAC
rnacentral:rRNA from 1 species